GAUGAACGCUGGCGGCGUGCUUAACACAUGCAAGUCGAACGGUGAAGGCGGAGCUUGCUCUGCUGGAUCAGUGGCGAACGGGUGAGUAACACGUGAGCAAUCUGCCCCUGACUCUGGGAUAAGCGCUGGAAACGGCGUCUAAUACUGGAUACGAGCUGCGAAGGCAUCUUCAGCAGCUGGAAAGAAUUUCGGUCAGGGAUGAGCUCGCGGCCUAUCAGCUUGUUGGUGAGGUAAUGGCUCACCAAGGCGUCGACGGGUAGCCGGCCUGAGAGGGUGACCGGCCAAACUGGGACUGAGACACGGCCCAGACUCCUACGGGAGGCAGCAGUGGGGAAUAUUGCACAAUGGGCGAAAGCCUGAUGCAGCAACGCCGCGUGAGGGACGACGGCCUUCGGGUUGUAAACCUCUUUUAGCAGGGAAGAAGCGAAAGUGACGGUACCUGCAGAAAAAGCGCCGGCUAACUAC
rnacentral:rRNA from 1 species